rnacentral:misc_RNA from 1 species
GAUGAAGAACGUAGCGAAAUGCGAUAAGUAAUGCGAAUUGCAGAAUCCGUGAAUCAUCGAGUCUUUGAACGCACAUUGCGCCCCCUGGUAUUCCGGGGGGCAUGCCUGUCCGAGCGUCAUUGCUGCCCUCAAGCACGGCUUGUGUGUUGGGCCUCCGUCCUCCUCCCGGGGGACGGGCCCGAAAGGCAGCGGCGGCACCGCGUCCGGUCCUCGAGCGUAUGGGGCUUCGUCACCCGCUCUUGUAGGCCCGGCCGGCGCUUGCCGACACAUCAAUCUUUUUUCCAGGUUGACCUCGGAUCAGGUAGGGAUACCCGCUGAACUUAAGCAUAUCAAUAAGCGGAGGA